UACGUAGGUGGCAAGCGUUGUCCGGAUUUACUGGGCGUAAAGGGCGUGCAGGCGGUUUGUUAAGUGCAGGGUGAAAGCCCCGGGCUCAACCUGGGAACGGCGCGCGAAACGGGGGGGCUUGAGUUCGGGAGAGGAGAGUGGAAUUCCCAGUGUAGAGGUGAAAUUCGUAGAUAUCGGGAGGAACACCGGUGGCGAAGGCGGCGACCUGGGUAGAUACUGACGCUGAGACGCGAAAGCGUGGGGAGCGAACAGG
rnacentral:rRNA from 1 species